rnacentral:rRNA from 1 species
GACGAACGCUGGCGGCGUGCUUAACACAUGCAAGUCGAACGGAAAGGCCCUGCUUUUGUGGGGUGCUCGAGUGGCGAACGGGUGAGUAACACGUGAGUAACCUGCCCUUGACUUUGGGAUAACUUCAGGAAACUGGGGCUAAUACCGGAUAGGAGCUCCUGCUGCAUGGUGGGGGUUGGAAAGUUUCGGCGGUUGGGGAUGGACUCGCGGCUUAUCAGCUUGUUGGUGGGGUAGUGGCUUACCAAGGCUUUGACGGGUAGCCGGCCUGAGAGGGUGGCCGGCGACAAUGGGACUGAGAUACGGCGCAGACGGCUACGGGAGGCAACAGUCGGGAAUAUUGCACAGUGGGCGGGAGCGUGAUGCAGCAACGCCGCGUGCGGGAAGACGGCCUUCGGGUUGUAAACCGCUUUCGCCUGUGACGAAGCGUGAGUGACGGUAAUGGGUAAAGAAGCACCGGCUAACUACGUG